rnacentral:lncRNA from 1 species
AAUGUUUCCUUUUCCGACUGUUGACGUAGAUCCGUUUAUUGUUUUCUUUUAAAACUAAUUGUAACUACACCUACAUUCAGUAGUCACAACAUUGAAGUCACUCCAUUAACGCUUUGAUCGAAGGUAAACAUGAUUUAAUCUAUUAGACUAUUAUGAGAUAAAUAAAGAUCUAUUUAAAAUGUACGAUUUGAAAGAGUUUGACUAGAAAAUUACAUUGCGAUUCUUUCCAAAGCACUACACAUCACUUUUUACUUCAUUUUGAUCAAUGUCUAAUUAUUGUACAGUUUAGAUGGCGGUUGUGUGUUAUUUGUGCCCUUUAAUUUGGACUUGGUAUUUUCUAUCGUCUUCCAAUAAAGAUUUCUGUAUUUUUUAUAUGUUUUUUUUUACUUUUUGUAAUUGGACAUGAAUAAGAAAUGAGGCUAAACGGGGUUAUAUAACAUGUUAUUUGGAGGUUUUCUUUUUUUUUUUUUUCAUUUAGAAUGGGCAUCUCACGACCCAAUACUUUUAAAUGGUUUGAGGUCUUGAAACACAGUCUUAUUCGUAAAGAAAUUUCUGUUAUCAAGCAUUUCAUAGAAUAAUGACAAUACUUCUAUUUUUCAUUCUGUCGAAUAACUCUAAUCUUUUGAUUUAAAAUUCUCCAAAACAUUUUUGUUUAUAGUCUGAAUUUGCGGUAUUCAUAAAAAUCAUUAAAGAAUUAGUACUGGAAAUAUUUCGUAAUUUUUUUUAUUAUGACAUAUAUAGUAUGCAACGAGAGGUCAAACACAAACAAAGUUUAUCAAGUAUGAAAUGUAGAUACUCCAUAUUUAACAUCAUUGACUAAAAGUGUCUAGUUGUGAUGUAACACCACUAAAUGUACUACUGUUCGUUGUAAGGAAGGGUUGGGCGCCCGCAGACAUAUUUAAAUCCGCCUAAUUCUUUAUUUGUCCGUCCCAAGUCCGAGCAUGUCAUUCAGUGGUCGUCAUUUGAUGCUGCAUGUCGUAUAUUUCUUUUUGAAUAGUUUUAUAUUUUAUUAUAUCGGGACCUCUUAUACUUACUAUGCUGUAUGGACUUUGCUCAUUGAUGAUUUGUUAAAGACUGUAUGUUGACAUAUAAUAGUUGUUUGCAUUAAUGUCAUGUGGUCUCUGGUAGAUACAUGUCGUUGUCUCGUUAUCAACCAUACCACAAUAUCUCCUUAUGUUAUACAAUACUUGACAAAAGACUCAAAGCCAUGGUGUAUCAUUGAUAUGACAUAAUAAUUUAUUGACAUACUAUUAAUUUAUAUGGUUUAUCUACUAAGUCUAUAACAGGCUUUGAGAAAAUUCCAGUCACCGUUAACAUCAAUGAAAAAACUCUAAUUAAAGAUACCUAAAAAUUGGUACGACAAGGACGCGUUUAGUCUAUUUUAUAAGGCUCAUCAGUGGCAUUCGAAUAUAAAAUGAAAAUGGCUUAAGCCUUUUGAUGUCUUACACUACCAAGAAUUUACCCACGUUUUUUGGUACAUAUACCCUCGUACAUAUCAUUACUAUUAGGAAAGACUAAAAACUUAUAAUGUUAUACUUUCUAUGAAUUCAGUACUGAUUUAGUCAGUACUGUUUCAGUACCGAUUUUUCCAGUACUGUUUCAGGUACUGAUUUUGUCAUUACUUUUUGAGGACUGAUUUUGUGGGUACUGUUUCAGUACAGAUUUAAUCAGUUAUGUUUCAGUACUUUUUAGUGUAUCGGUUUUAUUAGUACUGUUUAUGGAUUUACUUUCAUUUCAGUGCACGCAUUAAUAGAUCAGUUUGUUCAUUUAAAAAAUGUCAUUUAAGUACAAUGCUGCGAAUUUUUUUCAAGGUUUUAACUAGCUUCUAAGUUAGCUACACAUUUGUUUAUUUUUCAAACAAUAAGUUACAAUAUUUACAUUUUAUUGCGUACAGUGAUGCUAAUUUAAAAAAAAAUAAUAGAAACCAAAAAAACAAUUAACUAGGAAAUUAUGUAUUGGUAGCAAGGUAUUGGUGGUCUUGGUUUGUUCUGUACAUUUGGGGUGGGUAAAUUUUUGUCUCUUUGACAAAUUCCCAUUAUUUUUGUAUGUUGAUUAUUUUUUUAUGCUGGUUUUUAUACAUCUGUUCUUGUACAUAUUGCAGAUUUCAAUUCGAUUCUAUCUCUAAUACUUUUUUUAAGAAAAAUGCAAUUAAAAGAAAUUGUUAAUGGGAUAUAAAUCUAAAAGAGGAUGAUGAAAUCCUAUGCAGCCUCAUAUAUGGUAAUUCAUCAUGAUGAGAUCUGCCUAUUGUCCAAAAAAAGUCAUGAUAACUUUAAAAACAACGAGGAGGGGGAAUGUUCUAAAGGGGAUGAUGAAAUCCUUACACAAGUUCAUCUGGUAAAAAUCCAGGAUGAGGUCUAUCGAUGGUUCAAAUUUGGUAUUGAUAACUCCAAUAAAAGCAUAAUGAGAAUAAUUUACUGUAUGCUUUAACUUAUAUAGAUAGAUGCCAUUAGUCCCAUAUCAUGUUAUAGAGCAGGUCUUAUGAAAAUACAAUAGCAUUUUAAUGAUAAUUAUAUAUUAUAUCUAUAUAUAUUUAACAAUGCCAAUGUUUUGGGAAAAAAGGUAGGGGCAAGACGUUUUUAAAACAUAUUAAUGGGGCGCCUUUUUUGUUCUUCGGUAGUGAGCCAAAAGAAAUACAUUUUUGUUUUUUUGCAUUGGGAAGAUCUUCUGGCUCUCUUCCACCUCUUCUUUUUUGAGAGGUUAUUUAGACGAAAGAGGCACAUAACAAACAUUGGGUCAUUUAGUCUAUAUGACAAUAAUAUACUUAUGAAUGCAGAUAUAUAUAUCAGAAUGUGAGCUGUCUUAUAAACGUUUGUAUGGUGUGACACAGUAUAUAAUAUGAUUAGAUACAAAUCUCUAAAGAUUUGUAUUCAACACAUUAUAUGAUUGUACUUUUAGCUCAGUAUUAUCUAGACCCGUACAAAAUGUAUAUAAUAAGAUAAAUUUAACAGGGGCGGAUCCAGAACCUCGGUGUCUAGGGAAGGGGGUUCUAUAUAUACUAGUAUGCGAGUAUUGGCAGUUAUGGUUAUGGUGUGUGUGUGAGAGGGGAAGGAGAGGGGGGGUUCAGAUCAAAAAUCGUUUUUAUAAUUCUAUAUCUUUUAGUUUUUACUGUUUCACUUUAUUAUUUAUCCUUUGAUCUCUAUUGUAUUUGGUCUAAACAUGCGUGAAAAAUUUAUCACUGGACAUAGGGAAACCAAAAAACAAUCAACGUAUUCUUUAUAUUUCAUUAUUUCUUUAUUAUGUUAUCUAUGGGUUUGGUCCCGCCCCUUAUCUAUUUUUUACACAUUAUUCUCUCUAUGUAAACCCAAUUCAUGUCCUAAUAAAUGGUAACUCAUACAUAGCAUCAUAAGUGGUAAUAAAAACAAGAUACAUAUAUUUUAAUAAUUUACUGUAUGCUUGAACUUAUAUAGAUAGAUGUCAUUAGUCCCAUAUCAUGUAAUAAAGCAGGUCUUAUGAAAAUACAAUAGCAUAUUGAUGAUAAUCAUAUAUUAUAUUUAUAUAUAUAUUUAACAAUGCCAAUGUUUUGGAGAAAAUGUUACGGGCAAGGCGUUUUUAAAACAUAUUAAUGGGGCGCGUUUUUUUUUUUCUUCGGUAAUGAGCCAGAAGAAUUCCAUUUCUAUUUUUUGAAUUGGGAAGAUCUUUUGGCUCUUUUCCACCUCUUCUUUUUUGAUAGGUUGUUUAGGUGGCAGAGGCACAGAACAAACGUGGCGUCGUUAAGUCUAAAUGACAUUAAUAUUUAUGUAUGCAGAUAAAUUAGAAUGUGAGCUGUGUUAUAAACGUUUUAAUGGUAUGACAGCCUUAGUAGGACAUCCCUGUAGGAGGAUAAGCUAGAUAAAUAUAAGAACUACACGGACAAUGACAGUGAAGGGUCGAUUAUUUGAUAUUCUAGUGAAGGGAUUUUUAUUGGCUGGUGUUUAACGCUUCUUUCAACACUAUUGAGCUAUUCCGCGGUGGUCAGUUUAAAUAUAUAGAUGAAGGAUGAAGCUCUUACUAGGCAACCAUAUUCAUAUAUGAAAUUCUCCUGUCCCCCAUCACUACAAAUAGAUAAAUAUCAAAUGAUUUUACUUUUAUUUAGCACAAGUUUGAAUUGAUUUAUUGUUUGUUGCUAAUUGUUAACGCCCAGUGACAAAUCUUUCAUGCUGGUUCAGAAAAAUACGAGUUUAGAAGUCAGGUAAAUAAAAUAAAAACGAAGAGAUGGGAUACAUUGCCAUGAGGCAACUAGCCACCGGAGUUCAAAUAUGAAGUGGAUGUACGCAAUUAUAGACAAUCGUAAGGCCUUCAACAAUGACCAAAACCUGAUACUGUAAAGUCGUCUACAGAAGACCCGACAUGACAAGUGUAAACAAUUCAAACAAAAAAACUAACGGCCUAAUUAUACAUAACAAAUCAAUUUACAAAAUAUCAAUUAUGAGUCGAGACAUGAAUUACAGGCUACUGACAUGGGACAGGCAAAUAAAGAUUAUGGCAGGGUUGAUAUAAAGACUAAGAUGUGGUAUGAUUGCAAAUGAGACAACUCUCCACAAGAGACCAAAUUACACAGAAGUCAAUAGCUAUAAGUCACCAUACGGCCUUCGACAAUAAGCAAAGCCUGCACCGCAUAGUCAGCUAUAAAAGGCCCCGAAAUAACACAUGUUAAACAAUUCAAACGAAAAAAACUAACGGCCGAAUUAACGUCCAAAAAAAUUAACGAAACACAAAUAUGUAUAACACAGCAACAAAACGACAACCACUGAAUUACAGGCUCCUGACUUGGGACAAGACAUACAUACAGAAUUUAGCGGGGUUAAACAUGUUAGCGGGAUCCCAUUCCUCUACCCUUACCUGGGACAUACUUCCUUAUAGAUACAUAUACAAUGAAAGUUUUUGAAAUGUGGUGGAACGUUUUAACCAUCGAUAUUUUGCAAUAGAAAUAAUAGUUAGGACCAGACGAUUUUAACAGCUAGUACAGGACUUGCACGAACGCCAGAUUUUGUUAGAGGGGCUAUAUUCUGACGUGUUUUUAAUUCUUGGUCACUCAUGUUUAGAAAGAAAGGGGAUAAAUCCAAAUAAUUACCGACCAAUCACAAACCUUAAAGUAAAAUUAGACCUUAUGACGUUAAAGAAUUUCCCAUAAUGCAAUUAUUGCAUAUAAAUUAAAAGAAAACUACAAUACCAAUAAAAAAUAUACGUGGCUUAUUCAGUGUGCAUCACAUUUUUGAUGUAAUUUCUUCAUAGACAGAAAAAUGUUACAGUCAUUCCUUAGUGAAUAAAAUAUUAUUAUAUACAUGCUUGUUGUUUUGUUGCCGUUUUGAUUAAAUAUUUUCAACCAGUUUGCCAAACAGACAUGAAAAAGAAACGAAAGCCGAAUAAAAAUUAACCGCUAUGUUGCUAAAGCCUUGCAAUUGCAAUAUGAACUUGAUUGAUACUUUUACCCUUAAUGUUUUCCUUUAUUGGCAUACAAUCAUUGCAUUUAUUUCAAUUUUAGUAAAAGCUGAUAAUGUUAUCUGCUGUAAGCUCCCUGAUUGUAGAAGAUCUAGAUAAGAGUCUACUUCCAGUAAGAGGAAUAACCGAAUCCCAGGACAUCAAACCUUUUACACUUCUAACAGAGAAAACACCUAGACGUUGGAUACCGUUUGCACGUAAACAGUACAUGGUACACAACUUUCUGGUGAG